rnacentral:tRNA from 3 species
GUGCCCGUAGCUCAGCGGAUAGAGCGUUGGACUCCGGAUCCAAAGGUCGGGAGUUCGAGUCUCCCCGGGCACGCCA